UGACAUUUAGGAAAAUUGGAUAAACUGU
rnacentral:piRNA from 1 species